rnacentral:rRNA from 1 species
GACGAACGCUGGCGGCGUGCUUAACACAUGCAAGUCGAACGGAAAGGCCCUGCUUUUGUGGGGUGCUCGAGUGGCGAACGGGUGAGUAACACGUGAGUAACCUGCCCUUGACUUUGGGAUAACUUCAGGAAACUGGGGCUAAUACCGGAUAGGAGCUCCUGCUGCAUGGUGGGGGUUGGAAAGUUUCGGCGGUUGGGGAUGGACUCGCGGCUUAUCAGCUUGUUGGUGGGGUAGUGGCUUACCAAGGCUUUGACGGGUAGCCGGCCUGAGAGGGUGACCGGACACAUUGGGACUGAGAUACGGCCCAGACUCCUACGGGAGGCAGCAGUGGGGAAUAUUGCACAAUGGGCGGAAGCCUGAUGCAGCAACGCCGCGUGCGGGAUGACGGCCUUUGGGUUGUAAACCGCUUUCGCCUGUGACGAAGCGUGAGUGACGGUAAUGGGUAAAGAAGCACCGGCUAACUACGUG